CUCUAUAAUAUGUGUUGCACCAUUCGUUUCUCCUGUCUCUGGAGCAAAAAAAUUAUUCUUUAAUUUCUCACUCAAGAAAUCGAGAACCAAAUUCGAGAGAGGGAGCUAUCGAUAAUUCUCUCAAAAUCCGUUGAAGGGUUAUCUUUGCAUGGUAAAGUUGGAGAGAGAAUUUCAAGUUAAGGAAAUUAGACGAACAAGGUGAGCUUUCUUAUACGAAAAAUAAAAAUCGUAUUAUAUGAAAACUGGAACACAUGUUCGUGAUUUUUAAAGAUGUUGUCUUGCCAUAAAUGUUUUGUGUAUGAUGCCUA